rnacentral:rRNA from 1 species
UACGAAGGGUGCAAGCGUUACUCGGAAUUACUGGGCGUAAAGCGUGCGUAGGUGGUUUGUUAAGUCUGCUGUGAAAUCCCCGGGCUCAACCUGGGAAUGGCAGUGGAUACUGGCAAGCUAGAGUGCGGUAGAGGGAUGUGGAAUUCCCGGUGUAGCGGUGAAAUGCGUAGAGAUCGGGAGGAACAUCAGUUGCGAAGGCGGCUCUCUGGACCAGCACUGACACUGAGGCACGAAAGCGUGGGGAGCAAACAGG